rnacentral:rRNA from 1 species
UGUGUAGGCGGUUGUUUAAGUUUGGUGUGAAAUCUCCCGGCUCAACUGGGAGGGUGCGCCGAAUACUGAAUGACUCGAGUGCGGGAGAGGAGAGUGGAAUUCCUGGUGUAGCGGUGAAAUGCGUAGAUAUCAGGAGGAACACCGGCGGUGUAGACGGCUCUCUGGACCGUAACUGACGCUGAAACACGAAAGCGUGGGUAGCAAACAGGAUUAGAUACCCUGGUAGUCCACGCCCUAAACGAUGCAUAUUUGGUGUGGGUCAUUCAGUUGAUCCGUGCCGGAGCUAACGCGUUAAAUAUGCCGCCUGGGGAGUACAGUCGCAAGGCUGAA